rnacentral:rRNA from 1 species
CCCUUAGAUGUUCUGGGCCGCACGCGCGCUACACUGAUGCAUUCAACGAGCCUAUCCUUGACCGACAGGUCCGGGUAAUCUUUGAAUCUGCCUCGUGACGGGGAUAGAUUAUUGCAAUUAUUAAUCUUCAACGAGGAAUGCCUAGUAGGCGCAAGUCAUCAGCUUGCGUCGAUUACGUCCCUGCCCUUUGUACACACCGCCCGUCGCUCCUACCGAUUGGGUGUGCUGGUGAAAUGUUCGGAUCGGCCGUUUGUCGCGGUUUCCGCGUCAUGUGGCUGAGAAGUUCAUUAAACCCUCCCACCUAGAGGAAGGAGAAGUCGUAACA